ACAACCCAAACAGUUAAUCUUCAAUACCGCUUUGUACUUACGAUCUUGUAUCCACUGACUGUCUCGUUACAUUAAUCCAACAAAUUUCAUUCACUCCGCAUACUCAAUCCUAUAGACACCCUUUUAAUUCUUCAAUCACAGACGUAACUCGAUUUCACAAAACAGUCAAGAGUAAUCAAAUCCACUUCAUUAAAAAAUCUCGAUUCACCAUUACAACACUGACUUCAGCAACGAUUGCCUCAGUCUUCCCAAAACCCUAUGAAAAAAAAUCCAAUUCCCUGUCUUCUUUCCCUACCCGAAGCAUGAAGCUAGCUCUCUCCGAUCCCUCUCAAAUACUUCCCUCCCCAAAAACUAUCCUCCC
rnacentral:lncRNA from 1 species